CCUACGGGAGGCUGCAGUGGGGAAUAUUGGACAAUGGGGGGAACCCUGAUCCAGCCAUGCCGCGUGUGUGAAGAAGGCCCUCGGGUUGUAAAGCACUUUCAGUGAGGAAGAACGCCUGGUGGUUAAUACCCAUCAGGAAAGACAUCACUCACAGAAGAAGCACCGGCUAACUCCGUGCCAGCAGCCGCGGUAAUACGGAGGGUGCGAGCGUUAAUCGGAAUUACUGGGCGUAAAGCGCGCGUAGGUGGCUUGAUAAGCCGGUUGUGAAAGCCCCGGGCUCAACCUGGGAACGGCAUCCGGAACUGUCAAGCUAGAGUGCAGGAGAGGAAGGAAGAAUUCCCGGUGUAGCGGUGAAAUGCGUAGAGAUCGGGAGGAAUACCAGUGGCGAAGGCGGCCUUCUGGACUGACACUGACACUGAGGUGCGAAAGCGUGGGUAGCAAACAGGAUUAGAUACCCGGGUAGUC
rnacentral:rRNA from 1 species